rnacentral:rRNA from 1 species
GCGGGACACGUGGUAUCCUGUCUGAAUAUGGGGGGACCAUCCUCCAAGGCUAAAUACUCCUGACUGACCGAUAGUGAACCAGUACCGUGAGGGAAAGGCGAAAAGAACCCCGGCGAGGGGAGUGAAAAAGAACCUGAAACCGUGUACGUACAAGCAGUGGGAGCCUCUUAAUGGGGUGACUGCGUACCUUUUGUAUAAUGGGUCAGCGACUUAUAUUCUGUAGCAAGGUUAACCGAAUAGGGGAGCCGAAGGGAAACCGAGUCUUAACUGGGCGUUAAGUUGCAGGGUAUAGACCCGAAACCCGGUGAUCUAGCCAUGGGCAGGUUGAAGGUUGGGUAACACUAACUGGAGGACCGAACCGACUAAUGUUGAAAAAUUAGCGGAUGACUUGUGGCUGGGGGUGAAAGGCCAAUCAAACCGGGAGAUAGCUGGUUCUCCCCGAAAGCUAUUUAGGUAGCGCCUCGUGAAUUCAUCUCCGGGGGUAGAGCACUGUUUCGGCAAGGGGGUCAUCCCGACUUACCAACCCGAUGCAAACUGCGAAUACCGGAGAAUGUUAUCACGGGAGACACACGGCGGGUGCUAACGUCCGUCGUGAAGAGGGAAACAACCCAGACCGCCAGCUAAGGUCCCAAAGUCAUGGUUAAGUGGGAAAC